rfam:Stegodyphus mimosarum contig52953, whole genome shotgun sequence.
GCCCGGCUAGCUCAGUGGGUAGAGCACCAGACUCAAUUUCUGGUCCACGAAUGUGGUCGUGGGUUCGAAUCCCACUUCUGACA